rnacentral:rRNA from 1 species
AUUGAACGCUGGCGGCAGGCCUAACACAUGCAAGUCGAACGAGUGGCGGACGGGUGAGUAAUGUCUGGGACACUGCCUGAUGGAGGGGGAUAACUACUGGAAACGGUCGCUAAUACCGCAUACCAGCAGAUGGUCCCAGGUGGUAUUAGCUUGUGGGUGGGGUAACGGAUCACCAAGGCGAAGAUCCCUCGAUGGUCUGAGAGGAUGACCAGCCACACUGGAACUGAGACACGGUCCAGACUACUACGGGAGGCAGCAGUGGGAAAUAUUGCACAAGGGGCGCAAGCCUGAUGCAGCCAUGCCGGGUGUAUGAAGAAGGCCUUCGGGUUGUAAAGUACUUUCAGCGGGGAGGCGUUACCCGCAGCAGAAGCACCGGCUAACUCCGUGCCAGCAGCCGCGGUAAUAC